rnacentral:rRNA from 1 species
GACGAACGCUGGCGGCGUGCUUAACACAUGCAAGUCGAGCGGUAAGGCCCUUUCGGGGGUACACGAGCGGCGAACGGGUGAGUAACACGUGGGUGACCUGCCCUUAGCUCUGGGAUAAGCCUGGGAAACUGGGUCUAAUACCGGAUAUGACUCCAUGACGCAUGUUGUGGGGUGGAAAGCCUUGUGCGGCUAGGGAUGGGCCCGCGGCCUGUCAGCUUGUUGGUGGGGUGAUGGCCUACCAAGGCGACGACGGGUAGCCGGCCUGAGA